rnacentral:rRNA from 1 species
UCCGUAGGGGGCAAGCGUUGUCCGGAAUCAUUGGGCGUAAAGCGCGCGUAGGCGGCCCGGUAAGUCCGUUGUGAAAGUCAAAGGCUCAACCUUUGAACGCCGAUGGAUACUGCCGGGCUAGAGUCCGGAAGAGGCGAGUGGAAUUCCUGGUGUAGCGGUGGAAUGCGCAGAUAUCAGGAGGAACACCAAUAGCGAAGGCAGCUCGCUGGGACGGUACUGACGCUGAGGCGCGAAAGCGUGGGGAGCGAACAGG